UGCCCCUUUUCCACCUGAUUCAACUGUUAUCAGGCCAUUAAAUACAGUAUGCGUCAUCAGUCGCUAUCAGCACCAUAGAUGUGGGUCAUGUGUUGAAAGUGAAAGU